rnacentral:rRNA from 1 species
UACGGAGGAUCCGAGCGUUAUCCGGAAUGACUGGGCGUAAAGGGCGUGUAGGCGGCUCUAUAAGUCUGGAGUGAAAGUCCCGCUUUCAAGGUGGGAACUGCUUUGGAUACUGUAGAGCUUGAGUGCGGAAGAGGUAAGUGGAAUUCCCAGUGUAGCGGUGAAAUGCGUAGAGAUUGGGAGGAACACCAGUGGCGAAGGCGACUUACUGGGCCGUAACUGACGCUGAGGCGCGAAAGCGUGGGGAGCGAAC